rnacentral:rRNA from 1 species
UACGUAGGGUGCAAGCGUUGUCCGGAAUUAUUGGGCGUAAAGAGCUCGUAGGCGGUCUGUCGCGUCGGCUGUGAAAACCCGGGGCUCAACCCCGGGCCUGCAGUCGAUACGGGCAGACUAGAGUGCGGUAGGGGAGACUGGAAUUCCUGGUGUAGCGGUGAAAUGCGCAGAUAUCAGGAGGAACACCGGUGGCGAAGGCGGGUCUCUGGGCCGUAACUGACGCUGAGGAGCGAAAGUGUGGGGAGCGAACAGG